rnacentral:misc_RNA from 1 species
AAGAAAAAUAAAUUAAAUAAAAAAGAUAAGAAAGAAAAAGAAGUUGAAGAAGAAAAAAGGAGAGAAAGAAAAAAAUGAUGAAAAAAAAUAGAUGUGAAAGAAAAAGAUGUUGAAAAGAAAAUAUAUGAAAAAGAAAAAGAUGAAAAAGAAAAUAUGUGAGAAAAAAAUGAUUAAACAAAUAAAUGAGAAAGAAAAAAUGAUGAAAAAAAUAUGUUAAAAAAAAGAAGAUAAUAAAUAAAAAAGAUUAGAAUGAAAAGAAGAUGAAGAAAAUGAGAGAAAAGGGAAGAAAGAGAGAAAAAAUGAGUAGUAAUGAAAGAAAAUAAGUAGUUGUUUAUAUAAGCGAAUUAGUAACUGAUUGUCGGUUGCUAAUUUCUUUUAAAAAUUGAGCAGAAAAUUUUAAGGAGAAAAUUUUGCAAUCGAUUCGUAAUUGGUUGUAAAAUCGGUUACUAAUAGUAAUGGAUUGCAAAUAAUAAAAAGAAAAUAAAAAAAUUAGAUGGAAAUUUUUUGGGGAAAAAAUCAGUUGCUUUUAGCAACUGAUUCGCAAAUCGAUUGCAAAUCAUAAAAAGAAAAAAAAUUUAGGCAAAAAUUUUUAGGGGGGAAAAUUUAGCAGUCAAUUAAUAAUUGAUUGCAAAAAUCGAUUGUUAUCAGCAAUCAACAAGAAAUCAUUUGCAAAUAACAACCGAUUGCAAAUCAGUUAUUAAUUUUUGCAACCGAUUGCAAAUCUGUUGCUAACUAUGAAGUCAAUUAAAAUAAUUCUUUAAUUUA